rnacentral:rRNA from 1 species
UGGGGAAUUUUGGACAAUGGGCGAAAGCCUGAUCCAGCAAUGCCGCGUGUGUGAAGAAGGCCUUCGGGUUGUAAAGCACUUUUGUCCGGAAAGAAAUCCUUGGCUCUAAUACGGUCGGGGGAUGACGGUACCGGAAGAAUAAGCACCGGCUAACUACGUGCCAGCAGCCGCGGUAAUACGUAGGGUGCAAGCGUUAAUCGGAAUUACUGGGCGUAAAGCGUGCGCAGGCGGUUUGCUAAGACCGAUGUGAAAUCCCCGGGCUCAACCUGGGAACUGCAUUGGUGACUGGCAGGCUAGAGUACGGCAGAGGGGGGUAGAAUUCCACGUGUAGCAGUGAAAUGCGUAGAGAUGUGGAGGAAUACCGAUGGCGAAGGCAGCCCCCUGGGCCAAUACUGACGCUCAUGCACGAAAGCGUGGGGAGCAAACAGGAUUAGAUACCCUGGUAGUCCACGCCCUAAACGAUGUCAACUAGUUGUUGGGGAUUCAUUCCUUAGUAACGUAGCUAACGCGUGAAGUUGACCGCCUGGGGAGUACGGUCGCAAGAUUAAAACUCAAAUGAAUUGACGGGGUCAUAGCUGUUUCCU